AUGGAAUAUUGGUUAUACUUCAAGGUUUGGUUUGUACUAUGUAGACUACCACAACAACCUGACAAGAAUCCGCAAAAAUUCAGCUGACUUUUUCGAGAAAUUCCUGAAUCCACUAAAUACUUCAGAAAAUAUCGCCCAGAUUACUUCAGAGUAUUCAAGGAAGAUUGGGAAAUUCUACGUAAUGUAGCCUGUGUUGUGCCUUGUAAAGGUGCCAUAUCAAUCUGUGUUGCAAUUAAAUAAUAUCAUCACUGGGCUACUCCUAAGCUCCUGUGAUGCUGUGUGUCCCCUACGAGAGUUCCAAGCAUGACUUGUUGUAUUGCUAUUCUAUCUUUGAAAUAAAUGUAUUUUCCUUUUGAGUUGUGUUGUAUUGCUCUUGACGUGUAAUUGCAUUGGUUGGCUUUAAG
rnacentral:misc_RNA from 1 species